CCCUUCUUCUUAUUUCCUUUAUUAUAUACUAGUAUAUCUCAAUAGACAAAUGAUGUAAAUUGAACUCGUCGAAACAAAGUUUCCUUUUAAUACAGACCUGCCCAAACCCAUGAUAAUAGAAACAUAAGUCAUACAAAAGCUUACUCUCGUUACUAUUAGCAACAUUAUACAUUUAUACCUUAGGAAUGCUAACUUAAGAUGUUAUGUAGCCUCUAGAAAAGGAACAACGAUUUUAAGAUGAAGUCACUUGUCAAACUUUGCAUGUAGUAGCUUGUAUAUAUGAGAACUCCGGUAAGUAGUACAACCUUAUGGCAAUGGUGACGGUCAUAACCAAACCAAUAUAAGUCUUAAAACGCGUAUUGGAUUUCGAUCUGGAACUUAGGGGGCAGUGACGAGAGACUUGUGAGAGCAAGAGAUACAGAUAGAAUAGUGAAAGCAAAUCUUGAAAUAUCACAAAUCCAUGACCACUAUCUAAAUCUCAUAAUUGAACCAAUCCUAAAUCUAGCAAUACAUCAUUUUGUCAUUUUGUCCCCGAAACCCUUUCGGGGAAGAAAAACACACACACAAAAAAAAUAAAGAAAGCAGCAUGGCUUUUCUUGUUUUGGAGCUUAUUGAACAACUUUAUCUCCUAUGAAGUAUCCAUAGUUGUCAAGGGCGCGGGCCGCACUUAAUGCGCAAAGCCACUUAAUGUGGCCUAAGCUAGAUGCGCAAAAAAAACGCGGGCCCGAGAAAAAAAGGCGCACUUAAUGCCUUUUGGUUUUCUGCAUGUUCCUCUAGUUCUGCCACCACAUCGACUGGAACAUAUAACAUAUUUACACUCUUACAGUUUUGUUGCCUCUGAUUUGAUGCAUCUUAGCGCUAUAAAUUCCUCCUCUGCUAAUAAUUCCUCAAAAGUCGCAUUGAACAACAUUCUAGUCGUUCUUGUCAACCAACUUGUUCUACUUCCAUCGAGGGUCUUUGGAUUGGUAUGGGCUAGCAGCACCAUUUUGAUGAAUUGUAAUUAGCAGUUGGUAAUGACAGAAUUCACUUGAAGAAGGAAUAGAAAAACAGAAGAAAACAUGAAUAGAAUGAAGAAAUCAAUGACAAACGUUUCAGAGAAUUCGAGAAGGAAGACUUGAUAUGUAUGCUCUAUAGAAUAUAUUAAGAGAUUAUACGAAACAUAUAGAAGAUAGAUCUAUAUGGUUAAUAUAUGUCAUUGAUACAUAUCUCUAAACCUGACUCUAAAAAAAAUGCGCAUUAAGUUAGUGGGCCUUGAGCUUAGGGCUAGGAUGCGAUUAGUUGAAAAUCUGUUGCGCAACGCCUAGGCGCCAAAAGCGACCGCUUUUAACAACUAUGGAAGUAUCAUUCAAUCAUUCACAUAGGUUGAUCUGUCUCACUUAGCCCCAAUUUUCCUUUGUUGUUAAUGGUCGAAUAACGGUUAUACGGUCGACCACCGGUAUUUGAUAUAUCGGUUAUAUCGGUGGUAUAACGGUUAUCAUAAUAUUAUGCUAUAUAUAUAUUAUAUAUAUGUAAAAAUUCCAAAAUAAUUAAUACUUUAUACUAAUAUUAAACUUAAAAGUCAAGCUUAAAAUUAUUACUGAUGGGAGCUGUUAUCGAUCGAUUGAAUGGAAAUUUAGGGUUGGGACUUGUUUUUCUUUUUCACCUUCUGUUAAAAUAUUAGAUGGAUCGCUAGGCUUUUAUUUAGUUAGUAUGGACUAUUAAUAAAAAAGGUAUUUAUUUGUUUUGAGCCCAAAAAAGAGGGAAAAGAAAAAAACCUGUAAUAACACCGUUAAUCGAAAUUUUAAAGCUAAAUAUCGGCAAAAUAACGGUAAAUACCACCGUUAAUAACGGGACCGUUAUUUUAAUUUUUAUUUUGGGGAAGGACUGAAAACCGUUAUACCACCGUUAUACCACUUUUAUUAACAACAUAACAAUUUUCAUAAAUCAUAGACUUUCCGCAAAAAUUAACAUAAAUUUCGUGUUUAUUCAAAUCCAAUGAUAAAGAAUCUUUAAUUCUCGUGUAAAGAAUCCAAAAUGCAAAGUGGCAACCAAAGUAAACUACAAAAUAGAACUUUAGCACAAUGUCUAGAAAAUAGUGACACUACCUUGUUUCCAUUCUUCAAGUUUCCCACCCGAAGGGUGGACUGAUAAGACAAAAAGUUGCCACUGUUAGGAACAACCUUAGCCUUAAGCACAACGGGAGCAAUUAAACAAGAAGAUAAAACAAGAAAAUAGAUAAACGACACACGAAUUUAAUGUGGUUCGGCCCCAAUGGGGGGGCCUAGUCCACCGGCUGCAACUAGGUUAUUUUAUUAAGCUCUGAACCAUAAGAUUACAAUUACAAUGAGAGGUAUAUAUAGGAGAAUAACUAGGGUAAAUAGCUUUGUCCCCAAGGUAACCGAAACAGGCCUCCUUAAUAGAUCGGGCCUUCUGGCCAACAAGCCUUCAAACCCAACAAUCUCCCACUUGAAGGCCUUGCGAAAAACUUUAGCCCGCCAUUGAAGCAAACAAUAUUCCGGUCAAACAGUAACUCUGGUAACCUUCGGAUAAUAGAAAUCCUUUAAGCCUCUAGUUCCAAGAACAAACUAAAACUUCAAAACAGAUGUUUCCUAAGUCUUCCGUUCUCCAUGAACAAGCUAAGAUUUCAAUAUAAGUCUUCACAGGCCCAGCUUAAGGCUGGCAAAUUUUGACACGAAACCUGUUAACACGACACGACCUGUUCUUAACAGGUUUCGUGUUUGGCCUUAAUAGGUUUCGUGUCUUAAUAGGUCCAGACCUGUUAAGACACGAAUUUUAACAGGUCUUAAAAGGUCAAGACCCGUUAAUACCUGUUAGGACCUCUUAAGAUUUUUAAUAUAAUAAUGUAUAUCGUAUAGAUGUAAAACAUAACAUAUAAUCAGAUGAUGUAACUGUCUUUUCACUUUCACUUCCCACCCAACCCCAUACUCCAUUCUUUUUCUUUUGUCUCAUUUCUUUCUUAACGUCUACUCCUGUUUCUUGAUCCAUACAUAUUACUUUGAAUAUUAAAGAAGAUAUUCUUCUAGUUUCAGAUCUGAUCUUAACCAAUUAACCAUCAUCCUCAUCGAAAUAUAUUUCGACAUCACUCAAAGACGAUUCUGAUAGAUCCGGAGAACUCGCCAACUGCAACAACAAAUACGGAGAUCUGCAUCGUGGUUCCUAUUGGCAACGACAACGACAAUCGUCGUCUUCAUCACCACCUCUUCUUUCUAUUUUGUUUUAUAGAUCUAGGGUUUAUUUCUUUUUGGAUUUGUGUGAAUAUGGGAAAUGUUUUGUAUAUGUGUUUUUGUAUAAGAAUUCGUAUAGAGAUUUAAUCAUUGAAUAUAGAUAUAAAGAUUGAUAGAGAUAUAAUAUGUAUAUCUAUAUAUCAACAUUUCCAGAAAAAGUAAAAAAAAUAAACAGGUUUCUUAACAGGUACUUAUCGUGUUACCUGAUAAUUUUCGUGUCGUUUUCGUGUCAGGGAAAAAUGACAUGAUUACUUAUCGUGUUCGUGUUCAACCCCAACAGGUUUCGUGUCUUAUCCUGUCGUGUCUUAACAGGUCGUGUCGGACUUGUUAUGCCAGCUCCCAAGAACAAACCAAACCUCAAUCCAUGCAUCCCAAGUGUACCUAGUUGCAACGACCCUUUUCAUCAGUCACCUGAAAGGCCUAUUGAAGCUGUAAACCGCUCUAAUACCGUCAAACUGACCUAGUCAUGGCUAAGACCACUAAUGACUCGUCCUCAAUCUCAACCGGUUCCCACUGAGUUAAAAUAUUAGCUCCAGAGACUCCAGGGGAACAACAUUCUCCACUAGCGGUAGCAUCACAGGAGAGAUUUCAUUCGAAAACCUGGUUUUGAGAACCCAACGUUGAUCUCAAACAAAUGUCAAAACACUCAUCGUGCUCCCACUAUUACAAAUUCCCGUCCAAGUUCAAAACCUUCGAGAUUAUUUUUAUUUGGUUGAAUAUUUUUUACAGUCUUCCCUCAUUUGAUCUGUAUACAUAUACUGCAUGGGUAGGUAAAGGUUGAGUAACUAACAGGUUGGGGCGGCCCAACACACUUUGGGGCGGCCCAACACACUUUUUCUUUCUUUGAUUCUAUGUAAUUACAUGAAAAAUUAUAAUUUGUUAAAUACGAUAAGAUUUCAAUAAAGAGAUAUAGGAGUUUUUACGCUUUUAAAAACUUUCGAGUAACUUAUGAUCUUUUGAUCUGAUCAGCAGCACAUCCAGCCCAUUUUGUUUGUUGUUUUAAUCUUUGUGUUUAACUCAUUUAAGUUGUUGAUAGUAUCCAAUCUCAUGUCAGUUGGCCAUACGACAUGUUAGUGUCUUUUAGUUCUAUUCAUAUUUUGUUACAAUGAAAACUUGAAAUGUAUGUAGGUUUUUAUUGAAUCAUGCAAGAUAAAGAAAUUAUGUUGGGUGAUGCUAUCAUAACACUCAUAGCUAUGGGAUUCCCAAGAGAAACAUGUGAUAUUAGUUAAAAAUGUUGAAUAAAGAAGGUGUUGUGAUGAUUUUACCGACUGUUGUGUUGUAUCUUGGUUUUGUUAAUAGUUACAGCGUUCCAAUUUGUGUUUGAUAUUAUAUUUUCAAGCAUUUGUUAUGAUAAUCGGUUAUGAGUUUGCUUUAAUGUUUCAUUGAAUACAUACAAGAAGUUUCUAUGCUGAGUGGAACUCACAACGGACUUCUCCUUUACUGUUAUUGACAAUGGAUCUCACAAAGGACUUCUUUGUUACUGCCAUUAACAAGGGAACUGGAAAGCAAAGCAGGAUGAUACCCCCAUCACUGGUGCUCGCACAUUACUAUGUAAUGAGGUAUUUACUAAAUUUGAGCCUUGAUCGAUAAACUCCAUGGCUACCCUCCGAAAGUAUGCAGCUACAAGUUUGCAGUUGUCCAGGAGAUCCUCGAUAAUGAUCCCUUGGACUUGAGCCGUUAGAAGCACAUUCGCUAGAGAAGUAAGCAAGAAGAUCUUACACAACUAUGAAAGUGAUUAGACUCACGACGUUGGAUUUAAAUAGUGUUGUCCAUUUAUGUUUUUUUUAGAUAGAUAAAAGGCUCAAGGAUGUAUCUGGAUACUUUCGUUGUAUCCGCUAUCCCUCUACCCAAGGAGUGCCCACGAAUCAAACCACCGACUCUUAUGAUAUUUGUAUUUGUAACUUGGUCUAUGGCAACUCAAACAUGUUGUUUUAUGCAACGAAAGUAGCUAUUUAAAAUGUCAUAUGUCUCUUAUGUUC